GCAGCUGAUUACUGACAGGUGACUCUGCUUCUGCUUAGCUAGCUAGCUAACAACUGACAACAAGCGAACUGAAACUAUCUGUAUUGUGAACAAUGGGUAUGUUUCCAAAUCUAACUUUUGGUUUUAAUGGCAGAGAAAGACAGUUUUCCAUAUUCACAGACGUAACCCUGACCACAACCAGCUGAAACAAGAAGUUUUCCUCCCACCUUCACCUUACCUUUCUCACCACCAGCGACAUUAGCAGAGCGCAGUGCUGCGCAUAACUACGAUUCUCAUUCACUUCCGAUAAAAGCAUGUUCGACAAUCCACGCCUGUGCCUAGAUCUGAAGUCAACAUCUCCAAGGACUUUCUUUGUGCCUUGAAGUGCUGCAGAUGGUCUGGACUGCUCGCUGCUGCUGGGAGGAGGAUAUCAAACUCAAGUCUGCCAAUGCCAUCUAGUGGAUGGGAGAAAAAUUUAUGCUGCCUCCUCUCCCAUUGCACACCAUUUAACACAGACUGUGGCUCUUUGAUAAGACACAGUAUUAUAAUGUUAAUAGGUGCUACAAAAUUUAGGCUAAUUUAUGGAGUGGGAUGGAAAAACCCCGGUCACAAUAUUAUUUGUUUUUUCAGUGUUGAAUUCACAAUAUCAUGUUGUUCUGAAAUAAAACUAAAAUAAA